GAUGAACGCUGGCGGCGUGCCUAAUACAUACAAGUCGAGCGAACAGACGAGGAGCUUGCUCCUUCGACGUUAGCGGCGGACGGGUGAGUAACACGUAGGUAACCUACCUAUAAGACUGGGAUAACUUCGGGAAACCGGAGCUAAUACCGGAUAAUAUUUCGAACCGCAUGGUUCGAUAGUGAAAGAUGGCUCUGCUAUCACUUAUAGAUGGACCUGCGCCGUAUUAGCUAGUUGGUAAGGUAACGGCUUACCAAGGCAACGAUACGUAGCCGACCUGAGAGGGUGAUCGGCCACACUGGAACUGAGACACGGUCCAGACUCCUACGGGAGGCAGCAGUAGGGAAUCUUCCGCAAUGGGCGAAAGCCUGACGGAGCAACGCCGCGUGAGUGAUGAAGGUCUUCGGAUCGUAAAACUCUGUUAUUAGGGAAGAACAAACGUGUAAGUAACUGUGCACGUCUUGACGGUACCUAAUCAGAAAGCCACGGCUAACUACGUG
rnacentral:rRNA from 1 species